CCAAAAGGAUUCUUGAUCCAGUCGCUCGGUGGGAAGAUGGAAUCCGGGUCCGAUGAUCCCUCGGAGCUAGCUCGCGGGCGGCGCGCCGUUCUCUCCGCCCACCUCGCCACUGACCGCUGUUCCUUUGGCUUAACUCCGGCAUUGGAGAGAUCGUCUGCCCUCUCUCUCGAGGCAUCGCGGCCGUCCGUAAACCUCGGGGAAGCUAAAAGCUACUUUGCACUGAUAUCAAAUAUAUGAUUGGGAGAGACUGAUAGGACCUUUUGUAGAUUAGUACCGGUACAAAUGACAAGGGACUCUAGCUAUAUGAUCCGGGUUACCUUAACACUGCGCCGGUUCGGUCUUCCAUUUGUUAUAUGGAUGGAGAUGAAGGGAUACUUCGUUACAGAGGGUAUCGAUCGAGGAGCUAGCUGAGAGGAGCACGUUCCUUGAGCAAGCAGAUUGGGAGUUUGCAAUUUCACAGUACUCUGCUGUUCCACUGGACGUCCUGGUUCGUCUUUGUUUCCACUGUUAUUUGAAUUGCUUGUUGGCUUCAUUUGGCAUGUGGAAAUCAACCUUCUGUUCUUUUAUUUCCCGUUUGAGUCUAUAGCUAUAUUGUGAUUACUAAUACUGUAUCAUUAACUAUUCUGAUUUUCAUAGCAUUGUACACUGCUCCUUUUUAGGGUAUUAUACAAUCAAUUGCACACGAUAUAUGUUAGCUCUCAAGUAGGGUAAAGAACUUUGAUUUUCAUGUUAUCCUUAAUACCACAACCUUUCAAUUACAUUUUAGGGGUAAUCGAUCAUAUGUCCCUAACCCUCGACUGUCAAGGGUUCUUGAUAUACUUUUCAUCCUACUUGCGGAACAUGAAAUGAACUGCUCCACAGCUGCUGUCAGGCAUCUUGCUUCAAGGUACAUAGGUCCUUUCCAUGGUGGGGCUAAUGAGUUACAACAUUAGUUCUGUUGUGUCUUUGUUUUAUUGCAGUUUAUAUUUCACUGUAAAUUUAGUUUAUCUGUAAAUUCUUUCUGGCAAAAGCAUAGUGAUCUUUUUUUUUUUUUCGAUUUUACAACCAGGUCUUUUUUCUUGUGAUAUAUGUUAUUUUCCUUGCCAUCUUUUUAUCCAUGGUUUAUUAGACAAUACGUACAGCAUCAGUUAUGUUGUAUUUUUGUUUUUUUUACAGUUUUUCUCUCUCUCUUAUAACCAGGUCUUUUUGUUUGUGUUGUAUGUUAUUUCCUUACUGUCCUUUUACCCAUGGUUUAUUAGACAAUUAAAUCAUUUUUUGAUCAUUUUUUUGCAAAUACAUAUGGAAUUUUGAGAAGCAAAUAGGAAACAUCUCUAAAGUUGUGUUGAAUAUCUUGUGCAUGACAUGCUGUCCCUAAAAUGCUGAAUGAAAUUGGACAAGUCAAGAACAUUCCAGGGUUCAUUGAGGGUGUGAAAAACAGAAAUCAGAAAUUAUCAGGUUUUGGACAUCGUGUCUACAAAAACUGUGAUCCUUGUGCUAAGGUCAUCUGCAAGUUGGCUGAGGAAGUUUUCUCAAUUGUUGGGCAUGAUCCUUUGAUUGAGGUUUCCUUGUUAUCUUGUUAUUUCUAUGAAAUUCAGUAAUAUUCUUUAUUAAAAAUUAAA